rnacentral:rRNA from 1 species
UACGUAGGCAGCAAGCGUUGUUCGGAAUUACUGGGCGUAAAGGGUGCGUAGGCGGCUUUUUAAGUUUGGUGUGAAAUCUCCCGGCUUAACUGGGAGGGUGCGCCGAAGACUGGAAGGCUUGAGUAUGGGAGAGGUAAGCGGAAUUCCUGGUGUAGCGGUGAAAUGCGUAGAUAUCAGGAGGAACACCUGCGGUGUAGACGGCUUACUGGACCAUAACUGACGCUGAGGCACGAAAGCGUGGGUAGCAAACAGG